AGCAGCCGCGGUAAUUCCAGCUCCAAUAGCGUAUAUUAAAGUUGUUGCAGUUAAAAGCUCGUAGUUGAAUUUCGGGGUCAGUAGGUUGGUCAUGCCUUUGGUAUGUACUGGUCUCACUGAUUCCUCCCUCUUGAAGAACUGUAAUGUCAUUAAUUUGGUGUUGCGGGGAAUCAGGACUGUUACUUUGAAAAAAUUAGAGUGUUUAAAGCAGGCUUACGCUUGAAUACAUUAGCAUGGAAUAAUGAAAUAGGACGUUUGAUCCUAUUUUGUUGGUUUCUAGGAUUGACGUAAUGAUUAAUAGGGAUAGUUGGGGGCAUUAGUAUUCAAUUGUCAGAGGUGAAAUUCUUGGAUUUAUUGAAGACUAACUACUGCGAAAGCAUUUGCCAAGGAUGUUUUCAUUAAUCAAGAACGAAAGUUAGGGGAUCGAAGACGAUCAGAUACCGUCGUAGUCUUAACCAUAAACUAUGCCGACUAGGGAUCGGAUGAUGUUAAUUUUUUAAUGACUCAUUCGGCGCCUUAC
rnacentral:ncRNA from 2 species